rnacentral:rRNA from 1 species
GGGUCAGUAGGUUGGUCGUGCCACCGGUACGUACUGGUCCCACUGAUUCCUCCUUCCUGAAGAACCGUAAUGCCAUUAAUUCGGUGUUGCGGGGAAACAGGACUGUUACUUUGAAAAAAUUAGAGUGUUUAGAGCAAGCUAACGCUUGAAUACAUUAGCAUGGAAUAAUGAAAUAGGACGAUCGAUCCUAUUUUGUUGGUUUCUAGGAUUGACGUA